rnacentral:lncRNA from 1 species
GAGAAAGACACCAAAAUGAAUUUACUAUCACUGACAAAAAUCUGACAGGAAGUCAUGGUGUUUUGACAGAGAAGGAACCUGUAGCAACUCCUGCAAGAAAAGUAUCAUCAUUUAGUAAAUACAAGACCCUUCCUCCUAUCUGUGCCGACAGUGGCUCCGAUACAUUAGGAAACAUUUGUGCCAGGCUGACAAAAGCUGAGCGGCGGGAAAAACGGCAGUCAGCGAAGGUACAGAAAGACUCCGAACCCCCCCAGCCUGAUCUACUGCACCUACGGGUCACAGCACAUUCACAUGGUCUCACCCCCGAUCAGCUGAACGAGCAGCACAGAUGCCUCCAGUCAGAUGAGCCCCAGAGGUCUGAAUCCUUUUCUUCCAGCCCAACACUCCCUGCUGGGAAGACUCCACCCACACACGGUCCAGAGAGAGACGUCCUCACAUACGUAUUCAGCUCCCUGCUCCGGGACAUACUGGACGACCCAGCCUUCGCCCAGUAUCUGAUUACUUCUCCGUUCAAGCCCGUCCUUUAUCAGGCUCUGCAAACGGCUCCGCCCCCGUGCAAAUCCCAGAAAACGUCUUCUUCAGCUGCACCUCAGUGUCUCUGGCAUGUGUCAGAAGAUGAGCUGAGAGAACAACACAGCGCAGCGGACGGUGACGAAGCCGCAGGACGCUCAGAAAAUGAGACUCACACGCCCUCAGACCGCCUCUCUGCUGAACACACUGACAUAGUUGAAGAUGUUUUGGUCCAAGUCCUGCAGAACGUGAUGGUGGAAGCUUCCAGAGGAGAGCUGGACCUUACAGCGCACCCCCGCUCUGUCAUCCUACCGCCUCAUUCUGCCAGGAGGAUGUCCCGGGCCAUGGCUGAGAAGCCGAAGAACAAAAACAAACCAGCAGGGACUUAAUACGAAGACUUUUUUCACACUUUUAUGGACUAAUUUACAAAUGUUUUAGAUAUUCAUUCCAUUUCAACACCCUCCCUUGUUGAACUGGUAAGUGUCAUAUUGGCCUCAUAGUGGAUCAAGGACCAAAACUGCAAAAUUAAGCCAAUGCGGAAGUUAUUAAAGGUGUAAUACGACUUAAAGACAGUGUUCUUGGUAGUUCUUCUCAAUUCAACUGGACUGGUUUAGCUCUUUUGACGAUGACCCAGGCAAAUGAGAUUCUUGUAGUUUAUUCAUUUAUUUGGGUUUUAUUUAUUCUUCCGUACAGCACUGUUUUCUUUAUUGUACAGUUCUGCGUCUUUAAAUUUAUUCUGUAUUUUAUUCCAUUUUGGUUUUAAUUAUUCUUCUGUGCAGCACUUGGGUCCACUGCAGUUGUUUUAAAGUGCUUUACAAAUAAAGUUGGAUUGGAUCGGAAUGAGAACCUACACAGACGACGUACGGCCAGUAGACGAUGCUCUAAACAGCCGUGGUUCCCAUAGACAUCCACUGAACUGAACUAAGAACACUUACUACACUGCAAAAGUCUAAAUCUGACCAAGUGUAUUUUUCUCAUUUCUAGUCCAAAUAUCUCAUCACACUUAAAAUCAGGCAGAAUCACCGAAAGAGG